UUAAGCGACUAAGCGUACACGGUGGAUGCCCUGGCAGUCAGAGGCGAUGAAGGACGUGCUAAUCUGCGAAAAGCGUCGGUAAGGUGAUAUGAACCGUUAUAACCGGCGAUGUCCGAAUGGGGAAACCCAGUGCAAUUCGUUGCACUAUCGUUAACUGAAUACAUAGGUUAACGAGGCGAACCGGGGGAACUGAAACAUCUAAGUACCCCGAGGAAAAGAAAUCAACCGAGAUUCCCCCAGUAGCGGCGAGCGAACGGGGAGCAGCCCAGAGUCUGAAUCAGCUUGUGUGUUAGUGGAACGGUCUGGAAAGUCCGACGGUACAGGGUGAUAGUCCCGUACACCAAAAUGCACAGGUUGUGAACUCGAAGAGUAGGGCGGGACACGUGGUAUCCUGUCUGAAUAUGGGGGGACCAUCCUCCAAGGCUAAAUACUCCUGACUGACCGAUAGUGAACCAGUACCGUGAGGGAAAGGCGAAAAGAACCCCGGCGAGGGGAGUGAAAAAGAACCUGAAACCGUGUACGUACAAGCAGUGGGAGCACCUUCGGGUGUGACUGCGUACCUUUUGUAUAAUGGGUCAGCGACUUAUAUUCUGUAGCAAGGUUAACCGUAUAGGGGAGCCGCAGGGAAACCGAGUCUUAACUGGGCGUUAAGUUGCAGGGUAUAGACCCGAAACCCGGUGAUCUAGCCAUGGGCAGGUUGAAGGUUGGGUAACACUAACUGGAGGACCGAACCGACUAAUGUUGAAAAAUUAGCGGAUGACUUGUGGCUGGGGGUGAAAGGCCAAUCAAACCGGGAGAUAGCUGGUUCUCCCCGAAAGCUAUUUAGGUAGCGCCUCGUGAACUCAUCUUCGGGGGUAGAGCACUGUUUCGGCUAGGGGGUCAUCCCGACUUACCAACCCGAUGCAAACUACGAAUACCGAAGAAUGUUAUCACGGGAGACACACGGCGGGUGCUAACGUCCGUCGUGAAGAGGGAAACAACCCAGACCGCCAGCUAAGGUCCCAAAGUCAUGGUUAAGUGGGAAACGAUGUGGGAAGGCACAGACAGCCAGGAUGUUGGCUUAGAAGCAGCCAUCAUUUAAAGAAAGCGUAAUAGCUCACUGGUCGAGUCGGCCUGCGCGGAAGAUGUAACGGGGCUAAACCAUGCACCGAAGCUGCGGCAGCGACACUAUGUGUUGUUGGGUAGGGGAGCGUUCUGUAAGCCUGCGAAGGUGUGCUGUGAGGCAUGCUGGAGGUAUCAGAAGUGCGAAUGCUGACAUAAGUAACGAUAAAGCGGGUGAAAAGCCCGCUCGCCGGAAGACCAAGGGUUCCUGUCCAACGUUAAUCGGGGCAGGGUGAGUCGACCCCUAAGGCGAGGCCGAAAGGCGUAGUCGAUGGGAAACAGGUUAAUAUUCCUGUACUUGGUGUUACUGCGAAGGGGGGACGGAGAAGGCUAUGUUAGCCGGGCGACGGUUGUCCCGGUUUAAGCAUGUAGGCUGGUUGUCCAGGCAAAUCCGGAUAAUCAAGGCUGAGGUGUGAUGACGAGGCACUACGGUGCUGAAGUAACAAAUGCCCUGCUUCCAGGAAAAGCCUCUAAGCAUCAGGUAACAUCAAAUCGUACCCCAAACCGACACAGGUGGUCAGGUAGAGAAUACCAAGGCGCUUGAGAGAACUCGGGUGAAGGAACUAGGCAAAAUGGUGCCGUAACUUCGGGAGAAGGCACGCUGGUGUGUAGGUGAAGUCCCUGCGGAUGGAGCUGAGACCAGUCGAAGAUACCAGCUGGCUGCAACUGUUUAUUAAAAACACAGCACUGUGCAAACACGAAAGUGGACGUAUACGGUGUGACGCCUGCCCGGUGCCGGAAGGUUAAUUGAUGGGGUUAUCCGUAAGGAGAAGCUCUUGAUCGAAGCCCCGGUAAACGGCGGCCGUAACUAUAACGGUCCUAAGGUAGCGAAAUUCCUUGUCGGGUAAGUUCCGACCUGCACGAAUGGCGUAAUGAUGGCCAGGCUGUCUCCACCCGAGACUCAGUGAAAUUGAACUCGCUGUGAAGAUGCAGUGUACCCGCGGCAAGACGGAAAGACCCCGUGAACCUUUACUAUAGCUUGACACUGAACAUUGAGCCUUGAUGUGUAGGAUAGGUGGGAGGCUUUGAAGCGUGGACGCCAGUCUGCGUGGAGCCAACCUUGAAAUACCACCCUUUAAUGUUUGAUGUUCUAACGUUGGCCCCUGACCGGGGUUGCGGACAGUGUCUGGUGGGUAGUUUGACUGGGGCGGUCUCCUCCCAAAGCGUAACGGAGGAGCACGAAGGUUAGCUAAUCCUGGUCGGACAUCAGGAGGUUAGUGCAAUGGCAUAAGCUAGCUUGACUGCGAGCGUGACGGCGCGAGCAGGUGCGAAAGCAGGUCAUAGUGAUCCGGUGGUUCUGAAUGGAAGGGCCAUCGCUCAACGGAUAAAAGGUACUCCGGGGAUAACAGGCUGAUACCGCCCAAGAGUUCAUAUCGACGGCGGUGUUUGGCACCUCGAUGUCGGCUCAUCACAUCCUGGGGCUGAAGUAGGUCCCAAGGGUAUGGCUGUU
rnacentral:rRNA from 1 species